rnacentral:rRNA from 1 species
UACGGAGGAUCCGAGCGUUAUCCGGAUUUAUUGGGUUUAAAGGGUGCGUAGGCGGAAAUGUAAGUCAGUGGUGAAAUCCUGCAGCUUAACUGUAGAAUAGCCGUUGAAACUGUGUUUCUUGAGUACAUUUGAGGUAGGCGGAAUGUGGUGUGUAGCGGUGAAAUGCAUAGAUAUACCACAGAACACCGAUUGCGAAGGCAGCUUACUAAACUGUCACUGACGCUGAUGCACGAAAGCUAGGGGAGCGAACGGGAUUAGAUACCCG